CUGACAUUAGCCUUCAGUAUGAUCUCCUGCAGAAAACAAGCAAGCAAGCAUACAACAUGCACAACUUAAAGCUUUUUCUUAAAAAGAAGUUUCCCCCAGUGAUGGUUACUAAGAGGUGUCAACUUGAUUGAAUUGAGGGAUGCCUAGAUUGCUGCUAAAAGAUUGUUUCUGGGUAUUUCUGUGAUGGUGUUGCCAGAAGAAAUUAACAUUUGAGUCAGUGGACUGGGAGAGAAAGACCCACCCUUAAUGUGGGUGGGCACCAUCCAAUCAGCUGCCAGCGCGGCUAGAACAAAGCAGGUAGAAGAAGAUGGGAUCAGCUGGCUUGCUGAGUCUUGUGGUUUUUAUCUUUCUCCGUCCUGUGCUGGAUGCUUCCUGCCCUUGGACAUCAGACCCCAGGUUCUUUGGCCUUUGGGCUCUUGGAUUUACACCAGUGGUUUGCCCAGGGCUCUCUGGCCUUCUGCCACAGGCUGAAGGCUGCACUGUUGGCUUCCCUACUUUUGAGGCUUUUGGACCCAGACUGAGCCACUACUGGCUUUCUACCUCCUCAGCUUGGAGAUAGCCUAUCGUGGGACUUCGCCCUGUGAUUGUGUAAUUCACAAAGUAACUCACCGAGAGAUAUUCACAUGUCCCCAGGCGUGAACUUUUAAAGCAUCCCAUUCUUACACCUGUGUAUUGUCCAAAAACUAAUUCCAAAAGAGACUUUUUCUUCAACUGAUAAACAGGAUUUGGAGAAAGAAAUCUGAAACCUCUACACUAAUAAGCAUAUACUCAUUAGGUCUACAGUAGGACAACAGAUUAAAGAAAAGCAAACAGGAUUGGCAUACAGGGGAAGAAAACAUAUACGAAUUCUCUGACUCCUCUUUUUAUCAAUGUUUUUCUUUGAUUCUGUCAGCAACUCCUGUACAUUGCCCA
rnacentral:lncRNA from 10 species